rnacentral:rRNA from 1 species
AAAUUGAAGAGUUUGAUCAUGGCUCAGAUUGAACGCUGGCGGCAGGCCUAACACAUGCAAGUCGAACGGUAACAGGAAACAGCUUGCUGUUUCGCUGACGAGUGGCGGACGGGUGAGUAAUGUCUGGGAAACUGCCUGAUGGAGGGGGAUAACUACUGGAAACGGUAGCUAAUACCGCAUAACGUCGCAAGACCAAAGAGGGGGACCUUCGGGCCUCUUGCCAUCGGAUGUGCCCAGAUGGGAUUAGCUAGUAGGUGGGGUAACGGCUCACCUAGGCGACGAUCCCUAGCUGGUCUGAGAGGAUGACCAGCCACACUGGAACUGAGACACGGUCCAGACUCCUACGGGAGGCAGCAGUGGGGAAUAUUGCACAAUG